CCCUUAGAUGUCCUGGGCCGCACGCGCGCUACACUGAGUGUCUGAGAUACGAGUCUGCCUGGUCCGGCAAGGUCUAGGUAAUCGCUAAAAGACACAUCAUGCUUGGGAUAGAUUAUUGCAAAUAUUAAUCUUGAACGAGGAAUUCCUAGUAAGCGCAAGUCAACAGCUUGCGUUGAUUACGUCCCUGCCCUUUGUACACACCGCCCGUCGCUACUACUGAUUGGAUGUUUAAGCGAGGUUCUCGAACUGCUAGCGACUUAGCUUCGGUGAGGUCGCAGUGUGGGAAGUGAACCUAGCUUUGGUGUCUAGAGGAAGUAAAAGUCGUAACC
rnacentral:rRNA from 1 species